AUCCAACUGACGAGUCCAAAAUGGGACGAAACGCGUGUUCAACUGGUU
rfam:Schistosoma haematobium scaffold1691_5, whole genome shotgun sequence.